rnacentral:tRNA from 1 species
UGCCCGGUGGUGUAAUUGGUAACACACGAGAAUUUGGAUCUCGGCUUUGAGGUUCGAGUCCUCACCGGGCAG